GAUGAACGCUGGCGGCGUGCCUAAUACAUGCAAGUCGAGCGAACAGACGAGGAGCUUGCUCUUCUGACGUUAGCGGCGGACGGGUGAGUAACACGUGGAUAACCUACCUAUAAGACGGGGAUAACUUCGGGAAACCGGAGCUAAUACCGCAUAAUAUAUUGUACCGCAUGGUUCAAUAGUGAAAGACGGUUUUGCUGUCACUUAUAGAUGGAUCCGCGUCGCAUUAGUUAGUUGGUAAGGUAACGGCUUACCAAGGCAACGAUGCGUAGCCGACCUGAGAGGGUGAUCGGCCACACUGGAACUGAGACACGGUCCAGACUCCUACGGGAGGCAGCAGUGGGGAAUCUUCGGCAAUGGGCGAAAGCUUGACGGAGCAACGCCGCGUGAGUGAUGAAGGUCUUCGGAUCGUAAAACUCUGUUAUUGGGGAAGAACAAAUGUGGAAGUAACUAUGCACGUCUUGACGGUACCUAAUCAGAAAGCCACGGCUAACUACGUG
rnacentral:rRNA from 1 species